rfam:Gongylonema pulchrum genome assembly, scaffold: GPTH_scaffold0000274
UGACCGGUGGUGUAGUGGUAACACGUUCAGUUCGGACGUGAAUUGGAGUGGUUCGAUUCCUUCCCAGUCCG